rnacentral:rRNA from 1 species
CCGGCGCACGGGUGAGUAACACGUAUCCAACCUGCCGUCUACUCUUGGACAGCCUUCUGAAAGGAAGAUUAAUACAAGAUGGCAUCAUGAGUCCGCAUGUUCACAUGAUUAAAGGUAUUCCGGUAGACGAUGGGGAUGCGUUCCAUUAGAUAGUAGGCGGGGUAACGGCCCACCUAGUCUUCGAUGGAUAGGGGUUCUGAGAGGAAGGUCCCCCACACUGGAACUGAGACACGGUCCAAACUCCUACGGGAGGCAGCAUG